AUUUCCUAGCACAGGGUUAGGACACAUUUUCACUGUGUCCUACGCUUGUUUUAAUAUUGCAACAUCUCCAGUCUCUCUGAGAACACAUUUUAGGAUUUAUUUCAUGUUCUCUUCUGUUCCUGGCACAACAUCUGCCUCCUCCAGAAUUGUUUUCUGUGCCUGUUUGUUUUGACACCUCUCUUCCAUGUUGGAGGUUCCCAUUUGGAGAAGUUUAUUCAUGCUGAGGAACAAGACGAGUAAAUCUGGUGAGAGCCGUGUAGCCUGGACAGAACUUGCUGAUUUUGCCAAUUUGCUCUAAGUGAGACCAGUUUUAAGAAGCAAGUGAACCACUACCUGCCUGAAAAAACUAAGAUAGUCUCUAAAUGGUAGAAGGUAAAGAGCAUUCCCCUGGAGGCUGCCAGUUUCUCUGGAAGAGAAUACUCCUUUUUUCAAAGUCUGGGAAUCGAAGCCUGGCUUCUAGGCAUUAUGUUCUCCGGGUAAAAUGUACACAUCGUGGCCGGGCAUGGGGGCUCACGCCCAUAAUCCUAGCACUUUGGGAGGCCAAGGCGAGUGGAACAUUUGAGGUCAGGAGUUUGAAACCAGCCUGGCCAACAUGAUACUCUGCUGAGCACUUAAAAACGUCAUGUUGCUCAGGCUGGUCUGGAGCUCCUGGAUACAAGAAAUCUUCCCGCUUGGUCUCCCACAGUGCUGGGAUUACAGGUGUGAGCCACCAUACCUGGCCUUUGAUGCAAUAUUUUAAAAAAUCAAA